UAUACCGACAUACUGCCAUUGCGGCGCCA
rnacentral:sRNA from 1 species